rnacentral:lncRNA from 1 species
AUGGGCAGUCCCAACAGGGGGUGGGGGUCGCGGAAAAAACAAAAUGAACCUUGUAUUCUUUUUGUAGCGGUUCUGUCUUAUCCAGGAAGGAUGGUGUGCAGCCUUCUGUCUCAACAGAAAUUCGCAGAACCCUUCAUAUGCGAGGCAGAGAAGGCUAAGCUCUGCCAUGUCUGCUCCAAGACCAUCCAGCCAGGUAAGGGAUUGAACACCUGUUCCCUUUCAAUAGAAAACCUCUCUGGCAUCACUGAAGAGAUGUGGCCUCGCGCAGAACCGCCCGACCCCAGGGGCCCGGCAGGCUCCUCACGGAGGGGGGCCAGCGCAGCUCAGCGGGGCCAGGUCACUCUGUGUGUGACACUCUCACCAACGGCUUACAUGCAGUCACACUAAGUGCAUCGGGGCCGGACGGGACAGGGAGGCGUUGCGCCGUGGCACAGCGGUGGGACCCGAAAUGAAUGUUCUCCGUGGUGUCUGGGCUGGGUAAGCUUGUUUCCAUUGCUACUUUGAUUUGUCCUUGGCCUGCCCGUCUCCUGGGGGGAAACCUCGACUUGUCCUCUGGCCCGGGCAUUCGGUGCCCAAGAGUGCGGCCGCUCCUUUCCUCCUGGCUCCUGAGGCCACCAGUCACGCACUUGUGAGGGACCACAGCCCGAGCCGCUCACAACAAGGGGCCCUAGCCCCUGUCUGCCGUCGCUGCCCUCUGCCCCAUGCGAGGCUUCUGCCAGGACCGUCUGCUCCUUCGUGAGCAGUGCGCCCCGACCCGGGCGGUGACGCCGUCUGCGCGGGAGGCCUUGGAAAGGUCGCUUCGCCCCCCGCUUUAUUGUCCAGGAACGCCCUGUGAGCAGAAGUAGCCUAUGGCUACUUUCCCACCCUGGAAAAAAAAAAGUAUGUUAUAUUUUCCUUUUUGAAGAAUUGAAAAAGGCUGAGUGUGUGCGUGUGUGUGUGCGUGCGUGUGUUUAAACCCCCUGCAGUGCAAGAGAAGCACCUUUGUGUAAUUUACAAACAGUUCUGGAUGGUGGCCUAAGUUUAAAUUCUGGGCUUUCCAUUAAAACUUUCUAAGCGAGUCUAUUUAUGGCCCAGCAAAGAAGCUCUCGUCCCCGACCCCGGCGUGGCACAGGCCGUGCAGGCUGUAUGGCAACAGAUAACUUGACGGUGUCUUUGUGGGGACACGACUGAAUAGGGUUUCAGAGCAGACUCUUGUCCAGAAGAACUCUCUUGGCGGUCAGGGCGUCAGGGUUUCCUUGGGCUGAGCUCACUGAACGUUCACCCUGAAAGGAGAAGGCAGGUAUUUGGUAGAGAUGAACUGUGCUUCCGAGGCUCCUAAGCCCAACGUUUCUUGGCUACUUAAUUUUCAAGUCAUCUGUAUUUACAGAAACAAAGCAGACACGCAGCG